UCUUGAUGAUAAUGGACUGAACCUCUGGAUCUUCCUCACUUCAUCUCUUGAGACCCUGUAGACUGACUGAGCUGACUUGAUCAGGACCUCCUGCAAGAGUUGCCUUUGUGGCUGUGCGUCUCCCCUCAUGUUUAUGUAAAGGUGGCUACUGCCAUUCCUCCUACAGAUGAUAAUGGACUAAACUUCUAAAACUGUAAGCCAGCCCCAAUUAAAUGUCUUCCUUUAUAAGA